GACGUAGGGCGCGAGCGUUGUCCGGAUUUAUUGGGCGUAAAGAGCUCGUAGGCGGUUUGUCGCGUCGGAUGUGAAAAUCCAGGGCUCAACCCUGGACCUGCAUUCGAUACGGGCAGACUAGAGUUCGGUAGGGGAGACUGGAAUUCCUGGUGUAGCGGUGAAAUGCGCAGAUAUCAGGAGGAACACCGGUGGCGAAGGCGGGUCUCUGGGCCGAAACUGACGCUGAGGAGCGAAAGCGUGGGGAGCAAACAGG
rnacentral:rRNA from 1 species